rnacentral:tRNA from 1 species
ACGUCCUUAGUUCAGUGGUAGAACGCAGGUUUCCAAAACCUGAUGUCGUGGGUUCAAUUCCUACAGGGCGUG